GCUUGAGUGGCGUCUCCCGGCGGUACUUGAGGGGCACCACCUGUUGGCCUCGCUUCUGCAGACCCCGCACCACGUCCUCAUACUUGUCCAGCACCUUCUCCUGGUCCUGGAGAAAGUGGGGUAGGGGACCCGGGGGAGAAUGUGGCCCUGUCACAGCCAGGAAACCACUAGAAGCACCUGGGCUUCUGUCUGAGGCUUCAAGCUCAUCCCUCAGAUGGGACGCUGUGCUGAACCUGAGGCUCCCUUCAUGGAGACAGCCCCACCCUCCCCGAGCCAGCUCCUUGGGGAGAAGCCGGGUCCUUUCCCACCCAUCCACGAGAUGACACCUCUGUGAUAUGCUUCCUUUCAUAUACAAACAAGCAUCCAGCCACAGAUGAGUGGAUACACACUGGUCUGUCCGUACAAUGGGAUAUGAUUCAGCCAUGAAAAGGAGCGAAGCACUCAAAAUGCUACGACACGGAUAAGCCCAGCAAACAUGAUGCUCAGUGACACAAAAGAGCGGAGACUGCAUGAUUCUGCUUAUCCUCCACAUUCACUCCAGAUGUGAAACAUCUGGAAUAGGCAGGUCCACAGAGACAGCAAGCAGAACAGAGGUGACCAGGGCUGGGGAGCAGGAAUGGAGACUUACUGCCUAAUGGGUACAGGUUUUUUUUUUUUUGAGCUGGAGUCUCUCUCUGUCACCCAGGCUGCAGUGCAGUGGCAGGAUUUUGGUUCACUGCAACCUCUGCCUCCCAGGUUUAAGCGAUUAUCCUGCCUCAGCCUCCCAAGUAGAUGGGAUUUCAGGUAUGCGCCACCAUGCCUGGCUAACUUUUAUAUUUUUAGUAGAGAUGGCAUUUCAUCAUAUUGGCUAGGCUGGUCUUGAACUCCUGACCUCUGGUGAUCCAUCUGCCUCGACCUCCCAAAGUGCUGGGAUUACAGGCGUGAGCCACCACGCCCGGCCAGGGUUUCUGUUUGGGGUGGUGGAAAGAGUUGGAUAGCUAGUGGUAAUGGUUGCAUUGUGAAACAAUGAAUGCCACUGAAUUGUACACUUAAAAAUGGCAAAUUGGCCGGGCACAGUGGCUCCUGCCUGUAAUCCCAGCACUUUGGGAGGCUGAGAGGGGAGGAUCACCUGAGGUCAGGCGUUUGAGACCAAUCUGACCAACAUGGUGAAACCCCAUCUCUACUAAAAAUAUAAAAAUUAGGCCGGGCACGGUGGCUCAAGCCUGUAAUCACAGCACUUUGGGAGGCCGAGGCGGGUGGAUCAUGAGGUCAAGAUAUCGAGACCAUCCUGGUCAACAUGGUGAAACCCCAUCUCUACUAAAGAUGCAGGAAAUUAGCUGGGCAUGGUGGCGCGUGCCUGUCAUCACAGCUACUCAGGAGGCUGAGGCAGGAGAAUUGCCUGAACCCAGAAGGCGGAGG